rnacentral:lncRNA from 1 species
UCUAGAACAGCAAAGAUGCAGCCAUCUUCUACUUCUGCUUGUGCUCCUGGGAUGAGUACUUCACAACUUUAUGAAUGGGAGAGUGUCUUGGGAAUUGUCGUGGCUGUGCAGUUGAAUGAAACAGGCAUUUCAGUGAUGGAUAUAUAAAGUCAAUAAGGGUCCAAUAUGUUGUUAUGGAAUUUAAACUGCCUAAGACUGAACUGAAGAGUUAACUGUAAAAUAUGUAUUCUACAGACGGAAUGGAAAACUGCAUUUCAGUAACACGGUAUGUCACCUAUUUGACGAAAGUGUUUACUGCUUACAUGUGUCCUCUACCAUUGGUUUUAAGUCG